AUUGAACGCUGGCGGCAAGCCUAACACAUGCAAGUCGAACGAGUGGCGGACGGGUGAGUAAUGUCUGGGAAAAUGCCCGAUGGAGGGGGAUAACUACUGGAACAGGUAGCUAAUACCGCAUACCAUCGGAUGUGCCCAGAUGGGAUUAGCUAGUAGGUGGGGUAACGGCUCACCUAGGCGACGAUCCCUAGCGGGUCUGCGAUGAUGACCAGCCACACUGGAACUGAGACACGGUCCAGACUCCUACGGGAGGCAGCAGUGGGUAAUAUUGCACAAUGGGCGAAAGCCUGAUGCAGCCAUGCCGCGUGUAUGAAGAAGGCCUUCGGGUUGUAAAGUACUUUCAGCGAGGAGGCGUUACUCGCAGAAGAAGCACCGGCUAACUCCGUGCCAGCAGCCGCGGUAAUUC
rnacentral:rRNA from 1 species